AACCUGGUGGUGAAGUGUAUCACACCCACCUCUCCUGCCUGCCAUACCUUCCAGGUGAUGUGGGAGUCCUCGGUUCGAGCCCGGGCCGGGUCA